rnacentral:rRNA from 1 species
GAUGAACGCUGGCGGCGUGCUUAACACAUGCAAGUCGAACGGAAAGGCCCUGCGCUUGUGGGGUGCUCGAGUGGCGAACGGGUGAGUAACACGUGAGUAACCUGCACUUGACUGUGGGAUAACUUCAGGAAACUGGGGCUAAUACCGGAUAGGAGCUCCUGCUGCAUGGGGGGGGUUGGAAAGUUUCGGCGGUUGGGGAUGGACUCGCGGCUUAUCAGCUUGUUGGUGGGGUAGUGGCUUACCAAGGCUUUGACGGGUAGCCGGCCUGAGAGGGUGACCGGCGACAAGGGGACUGAGAUACGGCGCAGACUCCAACGGGAGGCAGCAGUGGGGAAUAUGGCACAAUGGGCGGGAGCCUGAGGUGGCAACGCCGCGUGCGGGAUGACGGCCUUCGGGUUGUAAACCGAUUUCGCCUGUGACGAAGCGUGAGUGACGGUAAUGGGUAAAGAAGCACCGGCUAACUACGUG